GGCUGAAGGUUUCCAUCUCCAGCAGUGUCUGCUGAGCAAUUGAAAACUCCAACCAAGGAAUUCUGAGGGGAGAAGACUACUGAAAGAUGCCUGCGGGUCAUCCUGCAAAUCCUCUUACCUCGGGAAGGGAGCAGGAAUCCGAGUGAUCUCAAAAAUUGUUUGGGGAGGUAAAGAAUCACAGAAUCACAAAUGGUUAGUGUUGGAAGGGACCUCUGG